AACACUUAAAAAAGGGGAGAAAUAUAUGAAUUGAUGCUAUAAACACUAUGCUAUGAUUAUCCCAUGCUUGCAUCAUCAAGAGAUAUAUGAAUUGAUAUGAUUGCCAUAUUUGCAAUGCUUAUAUGAAUUGAUGUUAUGAUUGCCAAAUUUGCAUUAUGCCAUGUUUGCAUCAUGCGUUAAGAUAUCAAGAACUUGUAUCGUAAUUUUACGCAUUGAUAUCUUACCAUAUGAUGAAAUGCUACAAUUGAUGAACACUUGAAAUGUAAUCCUCUAUCUUAUUGAUUUUUCAAUAAAUCUAUGCUUGUCAUACAUGAAUUUAUUGAAUGUAAUUUUGAGGAUGAUUUCAGAUUUGACAAAUGCUUGAUUCGUAUUUACGACAUAAGAUACACUUUAAAUAUGAAUCAUGCUUCAAUCAUGUUAAAUGCUUCAAUCAUUUUCUAUCUCUAGAGUUCUCGAUUUUGAUGAAAUACAAGUGAUAAAUUCAUUUAUGAUAUCUUGUAAAUCACUUGAAUUAUGAAUAAGUUUUUUUUAUGAUGUGUUAAAAGAAUCACUUAAAAAGAAAAUGCUUUUCCCAUCUUAUCGAGAUUAAUGAUUUCAUGAUAUUGUGUGAAUCUCGAAAUUGAUUUUGAUGAAAUAGUAAUAACGUUAUUCAUGUUAUGAAUCUUAAAAAUGAUAAUAUGCUUCAUGUGAUAAUAUAAAUACAUGAAACACUUAUGAUAUGAUUUUUAUACAAUUCCGUGUAUUCAUAAAAUAUUUAUCUCAUCAUCCAAUAACUCUUCUUGAUAUUCCUUAUGAGAUGAAAUGAAAUAAUGCAUGAAAUACAAAUGAGGAGUUAAUGAUCAUGCAUAAUAGGAUGUAAUGAAUUUUGACAUUUAGAUACCAUCGUUUGAAUAUCUAUGAUCAUGUUGCCAAAAUGAUAUAUCAUGAAUGCUUGGAUAUCAUGUUUGAUAUGCUCAUGAUGAUGAUUGAUUUUUCGGUAUCGUGCAUAAAAAAAAAUGAAAUGUAAUGUUAAUGAAUUUGUGCAUUGAAACUAUAAUGAUGCACAAAUAAGAAUGAUUACUUACCUUUGUCAUGAUUUAGAAAUUGAUGUAAAGGGUUUUUCC
rnacentral:lncRNA from 1 species